rfam:Oryza nivara chromosome 6, whole genome shotgun sequence.
AAAAAAGCAAAUCUUAGGUUUCCGUGCCAACGUUUGAUUGUCCGUCUUAUAUAAAAAAUUUUAUAAUUAAUAUUUUCAUUGUUGUUAGAUAAUAAAACAUGAUUAAUACUUUAUGCGUGACUUAUCUUUUUAAUUUUUUUCAUAAUUUUUUUAAAUAAGACGGACGGUGACAUGGAAACCAGGGUUUGUCUUUUU